GUGACACAGUAACAGGGGGAUUGAGGGCCUGCUCAGUGAGUUUACAUGUUAGAGGGAGUGGGGUAUAGUGACAGUAACAGAGGGAUUGAGGGCCUGCUCAGUGAGUUUACAUGUUAGAGGGAGUGGGGUAUAGUGACACAGUAACAGAGGGAUUGAGGGCCUGCUCAGUGAGUUUACAUGUUAGAGAGAGUGGGGUAUAGUGACAGUAACAGAGGGAUUGAGGGCCUGCUCAGUGAGUUUACAUGUUAGAGGGAGUGGGGUAUAGUGACACAGUAACAGAGGGAUUGAGGCCCUGCUCGGUGAGUUUACAUGUUAGAGGGAGUG